ACAAGGGAAACUGUUGCCGCUGCUGACCAUAACCGUAAUGUUUGGGGAUGCCCCCACUGGCAGGCCCAAAUGCGAAGCCACGCGACUCUGGAUAAAAUUAUGAGUGCUGCCUCCAUCAACUAGAACCUGUAUUGGCGAUCCAGCAACAUAGCCGGUGAAACGGAGGGUCGUCGGUGAUGGUUCCCCUGUCAUGGAGUAAUAUGAUAGCUCUGAAUUUAGUUCUGAAUCAGGCAGCAGAGUAACCCCAUCGUUCUGCUGGAGAACUUCAGUUUGAGAUUCGUCUGGAGGAUCACCUUCUUCAUAUUCUAACAGAAAUAAUUUUUGACUCUUACAUCACUGACCGGGGGCAUAUUUCUCGUCACAAUUGUAACACAGCCCCUUGUCUCUGCGUGGUUGCAUUUCCAUGGGUGAGAGGCGUUUAAUUGGAAUACGUUCUGGGGGGGCGGGCAGCAAUGGUAAAGAGGUUAAUGGAGGAGUUUGGGAUGUGGGCGGAGGCAGUGUUUUUAUAGGGAAAGGUCGUUGUUUGUAUAGGGAAAGGUCGCGGAAGGGUUCGUCGGAGCUCGACAAACUUAGCCUCCCGUAAACGAGCAAGGCCAACGGCUUGGGACAUGGAAGUGGGUCGGAAUGCUAUGACUUCAUUCCGGAUGUCCCGAUAUAAAACAGCUAAUAAGAAACGACGGGGGAACAGCUACGGUAUGAUUCGCUAAUGCUUCAAAUCGCGUCUGGUACUCAGCGAUCGUGGACGUAUGUGUUAGCUUGGCGACGGUAGCCUGUGGGUCAUCAAACUCCGAUGGACCAAAGCGAAUCUCUAGUGCUCGGGUAAACUCCGUCCAAGAGCCGAACUGAGCCGAGCGAUGCAUCCAUUGGAACCAUUGGAGAGCUGCUCCAUCCAUGUGGAAGGAGACGAGCAGCCGUUGGUCAUCGGGAGUGUUGUGAAAAUCAAAGAACCGCUCUGCUUUGAAGAUCCAUCUGAUGGGAUCGAUACCAUCGAAGUGAGGAAAAUCCAGUCGCAUAGUCCGAGUUUGGAUGGAAUUAGCCGGAGCAGGAAGCAACCCUGAAGUUGCGGUUGCUGCGAAGUUGCUGGAGCGCUGCUCCGGUGGGGUUGCCGGAGGUAAUCGGAGCACUUGUUCAAGUCGUCCAUCCAUGGCUGUAAGACGAAUAAUGAGCUCGGAGAUGGAAUCUUGAUGAUCGGUCAUGGUCGCUUGAAGGGACGUCAGUUGUUCUCCCUGUGCUGUCGUCGUUUCGGCGAAGAGCUUAAUGGACUCAUCCAACUGAUGGAGAUCCUAACCGCCUACACAAAAUCGUCCAAAGCAGCAGGGCGUCUCCUUGGUCGUUGUGAUGCUCUGCACGUGGUUUGUUCUGCCAAGGUGGAUGCUGAUGUGGCAAUUGUAUUACUCAGUCCUUCCACGUCAAGCUGAAUCAUAUCAGAGGUCUUUGAGAUCUAAAUUACUGCCUAGAGUCUUCUCAGAGGACCAUGACAGUAAAGAAGAAGAAGAAGAAGAUAUUGGAGUCAAGAAGAAGAAGAUAUUGGAGUCUUCUCAGAGGACCAUGAGAGUAACGAAGAAGAAAGAUAUUGGAGUCUUCUCAGAGGACCAUGAGAGUAAAGAAGAAGAUAUUGAAAUUUUCUUAGGAUCAUCAUGUUUAAUUUCUCUUUUCGCUUACUUGUUGGAGGUUCAGGUAGAUGUACGACACCCCUCAAAGUAGUACUUCCUAUUGUAUGAUCGAUGCGGGUUGCAAGUGUGAACUGUGAUUGAAUCGAGAUAAUAUUUUGUUGUUCCUUGA